CUUCAAGUAAUGGUAGAUCCCCGAGGCGGCGGCCACUCCACUGGAGCCAGAGACGUUUAUCGUGUUCGGCCUAUUCGAGCUCAGCCGGCCAGAAUGGAAGAAUCAGGUCCUGCAAUUGUACAACUCAAUCACAAAAAUGGUGGACAUAAGGCAACAGAGAGAAAAGAGCUGAUGACUUCUUCAGGCAAAAUCCAUUUCUAGCUACCUACCAAUGGGAAAGCGAAUUAUCUCAUAGUAGU